rnacentral:rRNA from 1 species
GGCUCAGAUUGAACGCUGGCGGAAUGCUUUACACAUGCAAGUCGAACGGCAGCACGGGGCAACCUGGUGGCGAGUGGCGAACGGGUGAGUAAUAUAUCGGAACGUGCCCAAUCGUGGGGGAUAACGUAGCGAAAGUUACGCUAAUACCGCAUACGAUCUACGGAUGAAAGCGGGGGAUCGCAAGACCUCGCGCGAAUGGAGCGGCCGAUAUCUGAUUAGCUUGUUGGUGGGGUAAAAGCCCACCAAGGCGACGAUCAGUAGCUGGUCUGAGAGGACGAUCAGCCACACUGGGACUGAGACACGGCCCAGACUCCUACGGGAGGCAGCAGUGGGGAAUUUUGGACAAUGGGGGCAACCCUGAUCCAGCAAUGCCGCGUGAGUGAAGAAGGCCUUCGGGUUGUAAAGCUCUUUUGUCAGGGAAGAAACAGCAGCUCUAACACAGUCUGCGAAUGACGGUACCUGAAGAAUAAGCACCGGCUAACUACGUG